UGGGGAAUCUUCCGCAAUGGGCGAAAACCUGACGGAGCAACGCCGCGUGAGUGAUGACGGCCUUCGGGUUGUAAAGCUCUGUGAUCGGGGACGAAAAUGACGGUACCCGAGGAGGAAGCCACGGCUAACUACGUGCCAGCAGCCGCGGUAAUACGUAGGUGGCAAGCGUUGUCCGGAAUUACUGGGUGUAAAGGGAGAGUAGGCGGGAUUGCAAGUCCGUUGUUAAAUCUAUCGGCUUAACCGGUAGCUGCGGCGGAAACUGUAGUUCUUGAGUGAAGUAGAGGCAGGCGGAAUUCCUAGUGUAGCGGUGAAAUGCGUAGAUAUUAGGAGGAACACCAGUGGCGAAGGCGGCCUGCUGGGCUUUAACUGACGCUGAGGCUCGAAAGUGUGGGGAGCAAACAGGAUUAGAUACCCUGGUAGU
rnacentral:rRNA from 1 species